rnacentral:rRNA from 1 species
AGUGAACGCUGGCGGUAGGCCUAACACAUGCAAGUCGAACGGCAGCACAGGAGAGCUUGCUCUUUGGGUGGCGAGUGGCGGACGGGUGAGGAAUACAUCGGAAUCUACUUUUUCGUGGGGGAUAACGUAGGGAAACUUACGCUAAUACCGCAUACGACCUACGGGUGAAAGCAGGGGACCUUCGGGCCUUGCGCGAUUGAAUGAGCCGAUGUCGGAUUAGCUAGUUGGCGGGGUAAAGGCCCACCAAGGCGACGAUCCGUAGCUGGUCUGAGAGGAUGAUCGGCCACACUGGAACUGAGACACGGUCCAGACGCCUACGGGAGGCAGCAGUGGGGAAUAUUGGACAAUGGGCGCAAGCCUGAUCCAGCCAGACCGCGUGGGUGAAGAAGGCCUUCGGGUUGUAAAGCCCUUUUGUUGGGAAAGAAAUCCAGCUGGCUAAUACCCGGUUGGGAUGACGGUACCCAAAGAAUAAGCACCGGCUAACUUCGUGCCAGCCGCCGCCGUAA